UCCCAACUACUUGGGAGGCUGAGGCAGGAAAAUCUCUUGAACCCGGGAGGUGGAGGUUGCAGUGAGCCAAGAUCGUGCCAUUGCACUCCAGCCUGGGCGACAAGAGUGAAACUCCGUCUCAAAAAAAAAAAAAAAAAAGAAAAUAGAAGUUAACUCUAGUAUUGAAUGUGUGUUGCAUAUAUUUUCAUUCUUUUAAUGGAAGUGCUUAAGGCUAUGAACUUUCCUCUAAAGUCAGCUUGGUCAACCAUGUGUUUUUUCAUUUUCAUCAUUUUCUAGCUGUUUUUAGUUGUAGUUUCUAUCUUGUCAUAAAAUCAAGAAGUUGGGCCAGGCAUGGUGGCUCACGCCUGUAAUCCCAGCACUUUGGGAGGCCGAGGCGGGUGGCUCACAAGGUCAGGAGAUCGAGACCAUCCUGGCU
rnacentral:lncRNA from 1 species